rnacentral:rRNA from 1 species
UGGGGAAUAUUGGACAAUGGGCGAAAGCCUGAUCCAGCCAUGCCGCGUGUGUUAAGAAGGUCUUCGGAUUGUAAAGCAUUUUAAGUUGGGAGGAAGGGCAGUAAGCGAAUACCUUGCUGUUUUGACGUUACCGACAGAAUAAGCACCGGCUAACUCUGUGCCAGCAGCCGCGGUAAUACAGAGGGUGCAAGCGUUAAUCGGAAUUACUGGGCGUAAAGCGCGCGUAGGUGGUUCGUUAAGUUGAAUGUGAAAGCCCCGGGCUCAACCUGGGAGAUGCAUCCAAAACUGGCGAGCUAGAGUAGGGCAGAGGGUGGUGCAAUUUCCUGUGUAGCGGUGAAAUGCGUAGAUAUAGGAAGGAACACCAGUGGCGAAGACGACCACCUGGGCUCAUACUGACACUGAGGUGCGAAAGCGUGGGGAGCAAACAGG